CAGCCGCCGCGGUAAAACCAGCACCUCAAGUGGUCAGGAGGAUUAUUGGGCCUAAAGCAUCCGUAGCCGGUUCUGUAAGUUUCCGGUUAAAUCCACUAGCUCAACUAAUGGGCUGCCGGGAAUACUGCAUAACUAGGAAGUGGGAGAGGUAGACGGUACUCGGUAGGAAGGGGUAAAAUCCUUUGAUCUAUUGAUGACCACCUGUGGCGAAGGCAUGCUAGCAUAACCGGUUCUAUUAGAUGAAUUAAGGAUUUAAAGGAAACUUACAAACCGCUACCGAUGCCUUAUGGCCAAAAACCACCCCAACCCUUGAGGGGGUUGGGUUUCCCCCGGGGGUGAAAGGGGAAAUUUCGGCCCCCCAAAUUUAUUUCCCCAAAAGGGGGCCAAUUACAAUAAACCGGGCCCUUUUUUAAAA
rnacentral:rRNA from 1 species